rnacentral:rRNA from 1 species
CCGACCUUGAAAUACCACCCUUUAAUGUUUGAUGUUCUAACGUGGACCCGUGAUCCGGGUUGCGGACAGUGUCUGGUGGGUAGUUUGACUGGGGCGGUCUCCUCCUAAAGAGUAACGGAGGAGCACGAAGGUUGGCUAAUCCUGGUCGGACAUCAGGAGGUUAGUGCAAUGGCAUAAGCCAGCUUGACUGCGAGCGUGACGGCGCGAGCAGGUGCGAAAGCAGGUCAUAGUGAUCCGGUGGUUCUGAAUGGAAGGGCCAUCGCUCAACGGAUAAAAGGUACUCCGGGGAUAACAGGCUGAUACCGCCCAAGAGUUCAUAUCGACGGCGGUGUUUGGCACCUCGAUGUCGGCUCAUCACAUCCUGGGGCUGAAGUAGGUCCCAAGGGUAUGGCUGUUCGCCAUUUAAAGUGGUACGCGAGCUGGGUUUAGAACGUCGUGAGACAGUUCGGUCCCUAUCUGCCGUGGGCGCUGGAGAACUGAGGGGGGCUGCUCCUAGUACGAGAGGACCGGAGUGGACGCAUCACUGGUGUUCGGGUUGUCAUGCCAAUGGCACUGCCCGGUAGCUAAAUGCGGAAGAGAUAAGUGCUGAAAGCAUCUAAGCACGAAACUUGCCCCGAGAUGAGUUCUCCCUGAGACUUAGAGUCUCCUGAAGGAACGUUGAAGACGACGACGUUGAUAGGCCGGGUGUGUAAGCGCAGCGAUGCGUUGAGCUAACCGGUACUAAUGAACCGUGAGGCUUAACCUUACAACGCCGAAG